rnacentral:rRNA from 1 species
AUUGAACGCUGGCGGCAUGCCUUACACAUGCAAGUCGAACGGCAGCACGGGGGCAACCCUGGUGGCGAGUGGCGAACGGGUGAGUAACAUAUCGGAACAUACCCUAGAGUGGGGGAUAACGUAGCGAAAGUUACGCUAAUACCGCAUACGAUCUAAGGAUGAAAGUGGGGGAUCUUCGGACCUCAUGUUCAUGGAGUGGCCGAUAUCUGAUUAGCUAGUUGGUGAGGUAAAGGCUCACCAAGGCGACGAUCAGUAGCUGGUUUGAGAGAACGACCAGCCACACUGGAACUGAGACACGGUCCAGACUCCUACGGGAGGCAGCAGUGGGGAAUUUUGGACAAUGGGGGGCAACCCUGAUCCAGCAAUGCCGCGUGAGUGAAGAAGGCCUCGGGUUGUAAGACGUCUUUGUCUAGGAGAACGGUGAGUUCUAAUACAGCUUGCUAAU